rnacentral:rRNA from 1 species
GAUGAACGCUGGCGGCGUGCUUAACACAUGCAAGUCGAACGGAAAGGCCCAAGCUUGCUUGGGUACUCGAGUGGCGAACGGGUGAGUAACACGUGGGUGAUCUGCCCUGCACUUCGGGAUAAGCCUGGGAAACUGGGUCUAAUACCGGAUAGGACCACAUUUUGGAUGGUGUGGUGGAAAGUUUUUCGGUGUGGGAUGAGCUCGCGGCCUAUCAGCUUGUUGGUGGGGUAAUGGCCUACCAAGGCGUCGACGGGUAGCCGGCCUGAGAGGGUGUACGGCCACAUUGGGACUGAGAUACGGCCCAGACUCCUACGGGAGGCUGCAGUGGGGAAUAUUGCACAAUGGGCGCAAGCCUGAUGCAGCGACGCCGCGUGGGGGAUGACGGCCUUCGGGUUGUAAACUCCUUUCGCUAGGGACGAAGCGUUUUUGUGACGGUACCUGGAGAAGAAGCACCGGCUAACUACGUG